UGGCGUCUCGCGUCGUCCCAGACUCUGCACCGCUCCCGCUGGCGCGACUCGGAGCAGACGUCGCAGCGGGCCAAGCCCCGUCACUCUGGGGACACGAACACGCUGGCAGCCCGCGCCCCUCUCCUGCGACCUGGUCGCGGGAAAGGGAACUAGCAACUACUCCCCGUUCUGAGGUCAUUCCCCCCCUGCCCCCACCUCCGGAAGAGCCGCCCUUCUCCGUUGGCGGGGCGGGGUGGGGGAGGGACGGGGGACGGGGACGGACGACUUUGCGGGGCCACGGCUCCGCGCCUUUCCCGCGUGGCGUCGGAGAGGAGCGUGGGAGGGUUUCCCGUCCAAGGCCUGGCCACACUCUCCACUUUUCCAGGCCUCGGACUUGAACCUCGUGGACUAUGGAGCAGAGGAGGACACUUCUUCGGGCCCCUCUGGGGAGGAGGGGUACCGAAGUCAGGCAUUCUCAAGGGCUCCGGCGAAUGGCCAAGUUUGUGUCCUUUCCCUCCCACGCUGGAGUAGCGCUCGCCACUUUGGGGAAGCGUGAGACUCCUCAUCCCCGGCCACGAGGCCAUCCCUGUCUUCAAGGUGGGGCCGAUGGUCUCUCUUCAGCACCCUCUCCCGCUCUGCGGCUCCCGCACCGCUCCUACAGUCCGGGGAGGCCCCCAGAGACGGCCCGCGCCUUCUCUCGCCCGCUCUUCCGGGGGGGGAGGCGCGUGGGUCGUGUGCCCUACGACUCCAGCCCGCAGCCUCCGCGGAGCCGCCUCGGCAGCCCUCCCCGCCCGGAGUCGCCCUGCGGGAUGCAGCCUCCCCCACGCGUAAUGAGGCACCCCUGGGACGCAGGCAGGGAUGGCGGUUCCGGUCGUUCCGGGAUUUGCGUGCAAGAAGAAAACAAGGCCGGCGACUACAGGAGCGGCGCCUCCAUUCUUGAGGCUUCUGCUCGGGGUCAGGCAGCCUGGAACUGCAUUUGAAAUGAUUCUGAACAUAUAACAGGAAAGGAGUGUACACCCACCAAACAAG
rnacentral:lncRNA from 1 species